GGGCGCUCUCUUCCUCACUCUGUCACUGCGCUGCUGUCUGACCUUCACACUGAUCCUCUGCAGCUCACCUGCUCUUUGACACCCUCUGACUCUCACAGUGACUGGCAGCUGAGGGGGCGGAGCCUGCAGCCAUGUUGGUGGUGGUGUUGUUACUGAUGAUGAUGAUGAAGAGUGACGGCGCUGCAGACAUCAUCAGAAUGUCUGCCAACAGCAGCACGAGUGUCGUGCUGCCAUCAGGCCUGCAGGGGGACCCGAGGACGCGCGGGUACGAUGUCAGGUGGACUCAGAUCCCUCACCUGCUGCUGAACUGGAACCGGAGCACGUGCUCCCACGGACGCUGCUCGAUGCUCCCUGACGGCUCGCUUGAGUUCAGCCGACUUCAGACCCAAGACUCCGGAAGCUACACGCUGGAGGUGUUUGACAAGACUGGGUCGAGACUGCAGACCAAAGACUUCCUGCUGCAGGUGACAGACCACAGCAGCAGCCAUGUGGUGUCUUCAGUGUCCGUCUGCGUCGUCCUGCUGGUUCUGUUGCUCUUCUUCAUCGUGGUCUUCAUCCUGAGGAAGAGGAGGGUUCAGAGGAAGAUGACCACAGGUCAGAAGGAGGAGAAGGAGGAGAACAUUUAUGUGGUGAUGAAGGGUUGCCAAGGUAACAAGAACAAUGAAGAGGAGAAGGAGAAGAAACUGGAGAAAGAGGAAGAGCCCCUCUAUGUUCCCUGCAGUCCUACAGUUUCCUCCCAGCAUGAAGACAGUGUGUACGUGUGAGGACCAAUCAGAGCCCAGCGUGUCUGCUCUGUAUGGAAGCCUUUGAGAGACUUUAUUAAUUGGAGAUAAACUAUCUGAAUUUCAGGAGCAGGACCACGCCUCCAAACACGCCCCUUCCUGUUCUUACCUAUAUUUGACCCCCCAGCUCUACAACCCCCCCUUCUCAUUAGUACUUGGGGACGUCCCCUCUGAGCCUUCCCCAAACUGCGGCUCAGUUCGUGUUUAAGCCGUCUGCCUUGAUCUAAUAAAACUGCUGUCAAGCUAACACGAGGACGUGUGAAAGUGAUGACGUACACCAGUGUUUCCCAACAACACAGGUGUGCCGUGCCUUUCCCGUUGUUACUCUGCUCUGAAGAUGUUACCAUGGAA
ensembl:lncRNA